CCGUAGCCCAAGAGAUCGGGAUAACACCUGGAAACAGAUGCUAAUACCGGAUAACAACAGAUGAUGCCUAUCAACUGUUUAAAAGAUGGUUCUGCUAUCACUCUUGGAUGGACCUGCGGUGCAUUAGCUAGUUGGUAGGGUAACAGCCUACCAAGGCGAUGAUGCAUAGCCGAGUUGAGAGACUGAUCGGCCACAUUGGGACUGAGACACGGCCCAAACUCCUACGGGAGGCAGCAGGU
rnacentral:rRNA from 1 species